rnacentral:rRNA from 1 species
UGCAGUCGAGCGGACAGAUGGGAGCUUGCUCCCUGAUGUUAGCGGCGGACGGGUGAGUAACACGUGGGUAACCUGCCUGUAAGACUGGGAUAACUCCGGGAAACCGGGGCUAAUACCGGAUGCUUGAUUGAACCGCAUGGUUCAAUUAUAAAAGGUGGCUUUUAGCUACCACUUACAGAUGGACCCGCGGCGCAUUAGCUAGUUGGUGAGGUAACGGCUCACCAAGGCAACGAUGCGUAGCCGACCUGAGAGGGUGAUCGGCCACACUGGGACUGAGACACGGCCCAGACUCCUACGGGAGGCAGCAGUAGGGAAUCUUCCGCAAUGGACGAAAGUCUGACGGAGCAACGCCGCGUGAGUGAUGAAGGUUUUCGGAUCGUAAAACUCUGUUGUUAGGGAAGAACAAGUACCGUUCGAAUAGGGCG